rnacentral:rRNA from 1 species
AUGAGGCGAUCGGGAGGCCCACCCAACAUUGGAGGCACUAGGGAGAACUUGACCCGACCAGCAAAUCUGUUCGGCCACCUUCUCACCCAUGCUCCGGCUACUGUAGGAGCGCGGACAAGUAGCCGAGUCCCUCCAAGUGCAACCUUUGCCCAUCUCGGUCCUUUCGGAGGUGGCCCGUCGCGUGUUCGUUUUCCGGCCACGGGUGUCUCACCCGUCCAGAGCUUCCAGCUUGUCGCCCCCCUCACCGGCCAUGCCAUGCUGGUGCAAAGCAAUAACGACAUAACUCGUAAUCUGCUUCCGAGGAAUGGUGUUUCAGCGUCUUCGGCUAUGCUACCUUGGAGGAAUGGUGUUUCCGAGUCUUCGGAUAUGCUGGCUCGGAGUAACCACCAUUUCUCCUUUCAAUGGCCACAACCACACUUUGCGGCCCCGAGCAACGACAUCAACACCGAAGUGUCGGUGCAGAUUCAUCCCAACUACUACCCCAACUCCAUUUUGGUGAAUCGUCCUUCUGUGCCACGUCAACCUCCAUGCACUUGCACAAGCUGCUCAUUUUCACAGUUUCUGGCACAACCACAACAGGAGAUGCCUAUACAGUUCCGCAUGGAGCAUGGUGUUCCUAGUGGCCCGAUCUCGGUGGCUUCCAAUCCUCUUACCACUUCGUCGGUGCUAGGAGCGUCGGGAUCAAGCCGAGCACAGAGUGUCGGGCUGCUCAACAGCGUCCGCUCCGCUCGUCGUGGCGCACUUACACAAGAAGCGGGCAACAUAUUUGUGCAGCAGAGAGAGCCGAUUGGUCGCAAUGAUGAGCUAAUGGGCUUCAGCGGCGGUCUCCUCCACGGGCAUGCGCUUCUUGCGGGCACUGAAUCCGUGCAACGUACGGUGCCGAUGGGCACCAACAUAGGUCUCUACCAUGGGCAUAUGCCUCUUGGAGGCCCCAGAUCCGUGCCGUGCAGACAGCCGACGGGUCUCUUUGCUAGCACGACACGGGGCGGUGACCGAGCAACAGCGGUAGCGACAAACGAUCCCAUGGUGUGGCGCCUGGCUAGGAUGAUUAGAAUUAGAGAAGCUAUGACCAGAGCCCGCGCAGACAUCCUCGCAGCUGUUCGUGGUCGUGGGAGGCAAGGUGGUGCAAACCAAGAGCUGUCCGACUAG